AUUGAACGCUGGCGGCAUGCUUUACACAUGCAAGUCGAACGGUAACAGGCCGCAAGGUGCUGACGAGUGGCGAACGGGUGAGUAAUGCAUCGGAACGUGCCCAGUAGUGGGGGAUAACGUAGCGAAAGCUACGCUAAUACCGCAUACGAUCUAUGGAUGAAAGCGGGGGAUCGCAAGACCUCGCGCGAUUGGAGCGGCCGAUAUCAGAUUAGGUAGUUGGUGGGGUAAAGGCCCACCAAGCCUGCGAUCUGUAGCUGGUCUGAGAGGACGACCAGCCACACUGGAACUGAGACACGGUCCAGACUCCUACGGGAGGCAGCAGUGGGGAAUUUUGGACAAUGGGCGCAAGCCUGAUCCAGCAAUGCCGCGUGCAGGAUGAAGGCCUUCGGGUUGUAAACUGCUUUUGUACGGAACGAAACGGCUUUUUCUAAUACAGAGAGCUAAUGACGGUACCGUAAGAAUAAGCACCGGCUAACUACGUGCCAGCAGCCGCCGUAAUAC
rnacentral:rRNA from 1 species